rnacentral:rRNA from 1 species
UACGGAGGAUCCGAGCGUUAUCCGGAUUUAUUGGGUUUAAAGGGUGCGCAGGCGGGAGAUUAAGUCGGCGGUGAAAUUUUGCAGCUCAACUGUAAAAGUGCCUUCGAAACUGGUUUCCUUGAGUGUGGAUGAAGUAGGCGGAAUUUGUGGUGUAGCGGUGAAAUGCAUAGAUAUCACGAGGAACUCCGAUUGCGCAGGCAGCUUACUAAACCAUAACUGACGCUCAGGCACGAAGGCGUGGGGACCAAACAGGAUUAGAUACCCUGGUAGU